UGAGUUGCAGCUAAAAAGAAUUAAUGUUUUAGUUUUUUAAUAUUAACGAUGAAGGUUCGAUUCCUUUCAACUCAA
rnacentral:tRNA from 1 species